GGACCCGACUGCUAUCAGAGUGGGAAUAAGCCCUGCGAGUCAACAUAGCAAUAUGUGGCAUACGGGUCAGUAACACGUAGUCAACAUGCCCCGGGGACGUGGAUAACCUCGGGAAACUGAGGAUAAACCGCGAUAGGUCAUCACUUUUGGAAUGGGUAAUGACUUAAAUUUAUAUGGCCCCUGGAUUGGACUGCGGCCGAUCAGGCUGUUGGUGAGGUAAUGGCCCCCCAAACCUGUAACCGGUACGGGCUUUGAGAGGAGGAGCCCGGAGAUGGGCACUGAGACAAGGGCCCCGGCCCUAUGGGGCGCAGCAGGCGCGAAACCUUUGCAAUAGGGGAAAGCUUGACAGGGUUACUUUGAGUGAUUUCCGUUAAGGAGAUCUUUUGGCACCUCUUAAAAAGGGGCAGAAUAAGGGGUGGGCAAGUUUGGUGU
rnacentral:rRNA from 1 species